rnacentral:misc_RNA from 1 species
AACGCACAUUGCGCCCUCUGGUAUUCCGGGGGGCAUGCCUGUUCGAGCGUCAUUAUAACCACUCAAGCUCUCGCUUGGUAUUGGGGUUCGCGGUUUCGCGGCUCCUAAAAUCAGUGGCGGUGCCUAUCGGCUCUACGCGUAGUAAUACUCCUCGCGAUUGAGUCCGGUAGGUCUACUUGCCAGCAACCCCUAAUUUUUUUAAGGUUGACCUCGGAUCAGGUAGGGAUACCCGCUGAACUUAA